AUUAUCAGAUCUGUAGAUGAAGACAGACAAAUAAAAUACAAAGCUGCUGUCAAAAUCCAGAGCUGUUUUCGAGGAUGCAGAGUCCGAGCCUAUCUGAGAUAUCUGAACAAAAUGGUGAUUUUUAUACAGAAGUGGUGGAGAGGUUAUCAAAGCAGAAGAUACUUCAGAAAAAUGGUGCAGACAGCAUAUUUUAUUAUGAAGAUGAAUUUCUACAAUGAAAUGGCUGUCAGGAUUCAGAAAAGAUGGCGAGGCUAUUAUGUUCGGAAAUAUAUCCAUAAUUAUUAUGCACUGAAGAAAUACCUGGAAGCCAUUUCUGUGAAUAAUGAGAUUGUCAGG